GUACUACACGGAUCCUGCUAGUUCCUACACAUUCCGCACGCUUAAAUCUGCAUUAUCCUUCCUAGAAACUGGAAAGGUAUCCGAGCGUGCAUUUAUUCAAAGGACGAGUGUUCAUGAUCUGUACUCUUUUGAAAUAUCUGCAGACAUGGUAAUUGUUCUCUUGGUGUUUUCUUUAUCUAGUGAAAAUCUUCAUGAUAUACUUUGUUCUAGUUGCUUGCAUUUUGGACAUUAUCAUGCAGAAAUCAAAGGCAGUGGAUUUUGUUUCCUUGCCACUUGAUUCAUGCACAAUUAUCUUUCCUAACUUCCAAAUGGUUUCUGCAUGAUAAUGUCAGUAUUCCCAUUCUGUCUCAGUUUCAGUGUAAUACUCUAUUACCUUACAUUGCAUCUUUCCGCCUCCUGGUGUUUGGAUAUACUGACAGGAACAAGCACUGUUGAAAAAAGAGGCCAUUCAGAAAUUAGUGAAGUUCUUCCAAGAUUGCCUAGAACAGUAUUUUGGCCAUAUAUUGGACGCUUUCUUGAAGAUAAUCACGAAAUCUUCUAGGCUAAAUACAACAAUGGCUACCAAUGGUUUAACAACAUUGCACAUUGCAAGACUUGACAGUUCAAAUUUGGUGGUCGCAAAAGUGUGGAGACUUGAAUUCAUAUAAAGUUAGGCUUAACAUUAGUGCAAACAGUUGUAUUUUAGUUUAGAUUUAGAGUACACUUAUGUAUGCGUUAUUUGACAAUGUUUAUUUAUGAUAUAUUGAAUGGUACUUAUUUAUAUUAUAUUAA